rnacentral:rRNA from 1 species
AACGCGAAGAACCUUACCCAGGCUUGACUUCCUUGGAAUUUCUCCGAAAGGAGAGAGUGCUUUAUUGAACCAAGUGACAGGUGCUGCAUGGCCGUCGUCAGCUCGUGUCGUGAGAUGUUUGGUUAAGUCCAUCAACGAGCGCAACCCUUGUGUUUAGUUGAAUUUUUCUAAACAGACCGCCCUGGCAACAGGGAGGAAGGAGGGGAUGAUGUCAGGUCAGUAUUGCCCUUACGCCUGGGGCUACAAACACGCUACAAUGGCCGGUACAAAGGGCUGCCAAGUCGCGAGACGGAGCAAAUCCCAUCAAAGCCGGUCCCAGUUCGGAUUGCAGGCUGAAACUCGCCUGCAUGAAGUCGGAAUCGCUAGUAAUGGUAGGUCAGCUAUACUACCGUGAAUACGUUCCCGGGCCUUGUA